rnacentral:rRNA from 1 species
GACGAACCGUGCGAACGUUGUUCGGAAUCACUGGGCUUAAAGGGCGCGUAGGCGGGCUGCCGAGUCCGGGGUGAAAUCCUCCCGCUCAACGGGAGAACGGCCCCGGGUACUGGCGGCCUCGAGGCGGGUAGGGGCGUGCGGAACACUGGGUGGAGCGGUGAAAUGCGUUGAUAUCCAGUGGAACUCCGGUGGCGAAGGCGGCGCGCUGGACCCGUCCUGACGCUGAGGCGCGAAAGCCAGGGGAGCGAACGGG